GCAGUUGAAAGGCUAAAUGCUCUUCCACUGCACUUGCAUUGGGCCUCUGCAUAUGUACGUCAAGGUUACGAGAUACGCGGGGGCGGGCUUAUUAUGAUGAUGAUGAUGAGAUCCAAUAACUGCAUACAAGGUGGCCCGGGAAUCAAUAAAUGAAACUUCUUCAUUGGAAACUCGAGUGUUUAUAGCUGAAAAUUUAUACAGUUUUUAGUUGAGAAUAAGCUAUACGCUUACAAAGGACUUACACUUAAAUAUACUUCGUAGAUGAAUUUUCAAGUAGGCAAGUGAAAAACGAGAGUCUAGGUUUGAUUCCCAAGCUGGAUGUGGAAGCACAUGUUCGUAUUAACUUAUAAAGAUCUAGAAAAAAUCUUAAAUUGGUUUAGUCUGAAAACGGUUUUAACUAGUUGCGAAUUAUAGUUCGACAAAUAAAUGAACAUUGAAAUUUGUUAAA